rnacentral:rRNA from 1 species
UCGAGAAUCUUCGGCAAUGGACGAAAGUCUGACCGAGCGACGCCGCGUGUGUGAUGAAGGUCUUCGGAUUGUAAAACACUGUAAGUUAGGAGGAAAUGUAUGGUGUAGAGCCAUAUUUGACCUAUUUUCAAAGUAAGCUCGGGCUAAGUUCGUGCCAGCAGCCGCGGUAAGACGAACCGAGCAAACGUUAUUCGGAUUCACUGGGCUUAAAGGGUGCGUAGGCUGUUAGAUUAGUGGGGUGUGAAAUCCCUCAGCUCAACUGAGGAACUGCGCUUCAAACUGUCUGACUUGAGGAAGGUAGGGGUAAUCGGAACUUGCGGUGGAGCGGUGAAAUGCUUUGAUAUCGCAAGGAACACCAGUGGCGUAGGCGGAUUACUGGACCUUUUCUGACGCUGAGGCACGAAAGCUAGGGUAGCGAACG